UGCUAACGUCCGUCGUGGAGAGGGAAACAACCCAGACCGCCAGCUAAGGUCCCAAAUUACUACUAAGUGGGAAACGAUGUGGGAAGGCUCAGACAGCCAGGAUGUUGGCUUAGAAGCAGCCAUCAUUUAAAGAAAGCGUAAUAGCUCACUGGUCGAGUCGGCCUGCGCGGAAGAUGUAACGGGGCUAAGUAGUAAACCGAAGCUGCGGCAAUGUGCUUUUGCACAUUGGGUAGGGGAGCGUUCUGUAAGCGGUUGAAGGUGUGUGGUAACGCAUGCUGGACGUAUCAGAAGUGCGAAUGCUGACAUGAGUAACGAUAAAGGGGGUGAAAAACCUCCUCGCCGGAAGACCAAGGGUUCCUGUCCAACGUUAAUCGGGGCAGGGUAAGUCGACCCCUAAGGCGAGGCCGAAAGGCGUAGUCGAUGGGAAACGGGUUAAUAUUCCCGUACUUCUUACAAUUGCGAUGGGGGGACGGAGAAGGCUAGGUGGGCCUGGCGACGGUUGUCCAGGUUCAAGUGCGUAGGCUUAAGAGUUAGGUAAAUCCGGCUCUUU
rnacentral:rRNA from 1 species